rnacentral:rRNA from 1 species
UAAGAUUGAAUAAUUAAGAAUUAAAUGAAAUCAUUAAAUUUAAAUAAUUUGGCGGUAUUUUAAAUAGUUAGAGGAAUUUGUUUAUUAAAUGAUACCCCACGAUUGGAUCGUCCUAAUAAAAUUUUUAUGUAUUGUUGUAUAAAAAUUAUUUUAAGAGAAUGAUAAUUAAAAUAUUUAAAUUAAUUUGAAUAUAAAUCAAAAUGUAGAAUUAUUAGGUAAAAAUGAAUUACAGUUUAAUUUAAUAUUGGAGUUAUUUUUUUAAUUAAAAUAAUGAAAAAGGAUUUAAUAGUAAAUUUAAAUAAAUUUUUAAAUUGAAAUAUUAAUUAAA